GAUCAUGGCUCAGGAUGAACGCUAGCUACAGGCUUAACACAUGCAAGUCGUGGGGCAGCAUGGGGGAUGCUUGCAUUUCCCGGUGGCGACCGGCGCACGGGUGAGUAACGCGUAUCCAACCUGCCCUUCACUCCGGCACAGCCCGUCGAAAGACGGAUUAAUGCGGGAUGCAGUCAGAAAGAUGCAUAUUAAUUUGACGAAAGGUCUUCGGGCCGGUGAGGGAUGGGGAUGCG
rnacentral:rRNA from 1 species